AUUGAACGCUGGCGGCGUGCUUAACACAUGCAAGUCGAUCGGUAACAGGUGUAGCAAUACAUGCUGACGAGAGGCGGACGGGUGAGGAACGCUUGGGAAUCUGCCUAUCAGCGGGGGACAACCCGGGGAAACUCGGGCUAAUACCGCAUACGCUCUACGGAGGAAAGCCGGGGACCGCAAGGCCUGGCACUGAUAGAUGAGCCCAAGUCGGAUUAGCUAGUUGGCGGGGUAACGGCCCACCAAGGCGACGAUCCGUAGCUGGUCUGAGAGGACGAUCAGCCACACCGGAACUGAGACACGGUCCGGACUCCUACGGGAGGCAGCAGUGGGGAAUAUUGGACAAUGGGGGAAACCCUGAUCCAGCGACGCCGCGUGGGUGAAGAAGGCCUGCGGGUUGUAUAGCCCUUUCGGUAGGGAAGAAAUCUCUUGCUCUAACAAAGCAGGAGUUUGACUUAACCUACAUAAGAAGCACCGGCUAACUCUGUGCCAGCAGCCGCCGUAAGAC
rnacentral:rRNA from 1 species